rnacentral:rRNA from 1 species
AAUAUUGCACAAUGGAGGAAACUCUGAUGCAGCGACUCCGCGUGAGUGAAGAAGGCCCUCGGGUCGUAAAACUCUGUUAUUGGGGAAGAAAAAAAUGACGGUACCCAAUGAGGAAGCCCCGGCUAACUACGUGCCCGCAGCCGCGGUAAUACGUAGGGGGCAAGCGUUGUCCGGAAUUACUGGGCGUAAAGGGUGCGUAGGCGGCCGUUUAAGUCAGAUGUGAAAUACCACGGCUCAACUGUGGGGGUGCAUUUGAAACUGGAUGGCUUGAGUGCAGGUGAGGAAAGUGGAAUUCCUAGUGUAGCGGUGAAAUGCGUAGAGAUUAGGAGGAACACCAGUGGCGAAGGCGACUUUCUGGACUGUAACUGACGCUGAUGCACGAAAGCGUGGGGAGCGAACAGG